rnacentral:rRNA from 1 species
UACGUAGGUGGCGAGCGUUGUCCGGAUUUACUGGGCGUAAAGGGAGCGUAGGCGGACUUUUAAGUGAGAUGUGAAAUACCCGGGCUCAACUUGGGUGCUGCAUUUCAAACUGGAAGUCUAGAGUGCAGGAGAGGAGAAUGGAAUUCCUAGUGUAGCGGUGAAAUGCGUAGAUAUUAGGAGGAAUACCAGUUGCGAAGGCGGCUCUCUGGACUGUAACUGACACUGAGGCACGAAAGCGUGGGGAGCAAACAGGAUUAGAUACCCGGGUAGU